rnacentral:rRNA from 1 species
AUGUCCGAACUACCCCUGCUCAAACAGAGAAAAAGAGGCGAACUACCCGAUAUGCCCACUUUGGUAGCAGGCGGUGCGCGCGUGGCAGGCGUAGAGCGCUCCGUCGGCCGUCGCCGUGCCCCCGGUAUCCCAUCUCCCACACCAAAUCCCAAUCCGGCUCCCUGCCCCGCACCAGCGCCCAAAACCCUAGCUUUAAACCCCCGAAUCCAACCGAUUCCCCCGCCGAUUCCCGCCAUUUCUCGCCGCAGCGGCGAUCCACCGGACCUGGAUCGGUUCCUCCGUCGCCGACCAACUCUAGGUUGCUUGGGUUGUCCCGAGAGCUCUGUUCUGGUCCAUUUUCUUUCUAGGACGGAUACUCCAAUCCCAUCCAUCCUCCAGUCUGUGGCAGGUUUAUUUCCUGCGGGGUGCCUAUUCCCAGCUAAAUUUCGCUUCUCUGGUUCCUGUUUGGUAAGCAUGGAGUUCGAGGGCGAGGGGGGCAUUGGUGUCGGUGUCGGCGAUGGUGAAGGAGACGACAGGGUGGACGAGCCUACCAGAUGCCUACGCUGUGGAAUUAGCGCAAAUGCAACGCCUCAUAUGCGUCGUGGACCGAUGGGACGGCGGACUUUAUGCAAUGCAUGUGGAAUAGCAUGGGCAAAGGGAAAAUUGAGAAAAGUUAUUGAUUCUGACACCCCCAUAGAUGAUGUUCCUGUUGCAAAAAUGGUGCCUGAAGUCGGCAUGGAAUUUGACAAUGAAGACAAAGCAUAUGAAUUUUAUAACAGGUAUGCUGGACACAUCGGCUUUAGUGUUCGUAAGAGUUCAUCGGACAAAUCAGCUGACAACAUCACAAGAUCAAGGACCUUUGUAUGCUCGAGGGAGGGUUUCCGUAAGGACAAAAAAGGAGCUAAUGAAGUUAAGAGGCCAAGGCCAGAAACAAGAAUAGGAUGCCCCGCACGGAUGAUAAUUAAGAUUACAUCCUAUAAUAAAUAUCGCAUUGCUGAAUUUGUAGCAGACCAUAACCAUCAGCCAGCACCCCCAUCAACCAUGCAUAUGCUGAGAUCUCAGAGGGUGCUUACUGAGGUACAAACAACUGAAUGCAAUUCCUCAGAAGAUUCCACAACACCGUCAAGGUUUUCUGGUGGCUCUUUAGGACAGCAGGCAGGAGCUUUUAGAAAUGUUAAUUUCCUCCCUGCAGAUUACAGAAGUUCCCUUUGUUCAAAGCGUACGAAAAAUAUGCAACCUGGUGAUGCAGGAGGUGUUGUGAAGUACCUGCAGAGCAUGCAGCUAAACAAUCCGUCUUUCUUUUAUGCUGUCCAGCUUGAUGAGGAUGACAAACUGACCAACAUUUUCUGGGCCGAUUCCAAAUCUAGAGUUGAUUUCAGCUACUUCAGUGACGUGGUUUGUUUGGACACAACCUACAAGAUAAAUGCACAUGGAAGGCCAUUAACUCUCUUCCUUGGAGUGAAUCAUCACAAGCAAAUCUCCAUAUUUGGUGCUGCUUUGCUUUAUGAUGAAUCGGUGGAAUCGUUCAAGUGGUUGUUUGACACGUUCAAGAUUGCUACAGAUGGAAAGCAGCCAAAAACAAUCUUGACAGAUCAAUCAAUUGCAGCAAGUGCUGCCAUAAGCGCAGUAUGGCCAAGUACAAUUCACUGUCUUUGCCCAUGGCAAGUGUACCAAAACACUGUCAAACACCUUAAUCACAUCUUCCAAGGCUCUAAAACAUUUGCAAAGGAUUUCAGCAGAUGUGUUUAUGAUUAUGAGGAUGAAGAGGGUUUCUUGGUAGGAUGGAGAACCAUGCUAGAGAAGUAUGAUCUAAGAAACAAUGAAUGGCUUCAUAAGUUAUUCGAAGAUCGAGAUAAAUGGGCAUCAGCGUACAAUCGACAUGUAUUCACCGCAGAUAUAAAUGGUUCAUUGCAGUUAGAGUGUGUUAGCAAUGUCUUGAGAAAGUACUUGAGUCCACAGUUUGAUUUUUUGUCUUUCUUCAAGCACUAUGAAAGAGUGUUGGAUGAGCAUCGCUAUGCAGAGCUACAAGCUGAUUUUCAUGCAAGCCAAAGCUUCCCGAGAAUACCUCCCUCGAAAAUGCUGAAACAAGCUGCCAACAUAUACACACCUGUGGUUUUUGAAAAAUUUCGCAGAGAGUUUGAGAUGUUUGUGGAUUCAGUGAUCUACAGUUGUGGGGAGUCGGGAACUGCAUCGGACUAUAGAGUAGCAGUAACAGAUAGACCUGGGGAACACUAUGUUAGGUUUGACUCCAGUGACUUAUCUGUAGCUUGCAGUUGUAAAAAAUUCGAAUCAAUGGGUAUCCAGUGUUGCCAUGUGCUGAAAGUCCUUGAUUUCAGAAAUAUAAAGGAGUUGCCACAAAAAUAUUUGAUGAGAAGAUGGACGAAGGAUGCAAAGUCUGCAGACAGAGGCAAUCAAGAGUUCUUGAGUGAUGGCGCUUUGCAAACUCCAAGCUCUCGUUUAAAUGUCCCUGUGCCAAUUAUAAAUCAACCACAAUCACACUUAAAUAAUGACCAUGACCAUGCCGCUUCUGUUUCUAGCUUCGGCCACCAAGCCCUUCAGGGAAAUGCCAAUGGAAACCAGGGCUACACCCCUUUAGCCGGGAUGAACCAGCAGCCAUUUGUCGGAGGUUUCCCCCUAAACCAUGAAACGGGUUUUGAAUGA